AGAUUGAACGCUGGCGGCAUGCUUUACACAUGCAAGUCGAACGGUAACAGGCCGCAAGGUGCUGACGAGUGGCGAACGGGUGAGUAAUGUAUCGGAACGUGCCCAGUCGUGGGGGAUAACGCAGCGAAAGCUGCGCUAAUACCGCAUACGAUCUAUGGAUGAAAGCGGGGGACCGUAAGGCCUCGCGCGAUUGGAGCGGCCGAUAUCAGAUUAGGUAGUUGGUGGGGUAAAGGGCUCACCAAGCCAACGAUCUGUAGCUGGUCU
rnacentral:rRNA from 1 species